rnacentral:rRNA from 1 species
GAGUGAUCGAAAGAUGAAAAGCACUUUGAAAAGAGAGUUAAAAAGCACGUGAAAUUGUUGAAAGGGAAGCGCUUGCGACCAGACUCGCUCGCGGGGUUCAGCCGGCAUUCGUGCCGGUGUACUUCCCCGCGGGCGGGCCAGCGUCGGUUUGGGCGGUCGGUCAAAGGCCCUCGGAAGGUAACGCCCCUAGGGGCGUCUUAUAGCCGAGGGUGCAAUGCGACCUGCCUAGACCGAGGAACGCGCUUCGGCUCGGACGCUGGCAUAAUGGUCGUAAACGACCC